rfam:Eubacterium cylindroides T2-87 draft genome.
GAUGAAGAUAGAGGUAGCAAUGCAUCAGAGUACUGCAUGGAGUUGGCAAACUAAGAAGUGCAGGAAAGGUAAUCAUUGCCGAAGGACAUAAGGUGGCAACCUUAUCCCUGGGGUAUUAGGGAAUACCUAAUACACUCCUUCAAACUUUGAAGAGGGGUUAUCUUAUAG